rnacentral:snRNA from 1 species
AGCUUUGCACAGUGGCAGUAUCAUAACCAAUGAAGUGAAUCUGAGGGUGUGAUUAUUGCUACUUGAAAAUCUGCUCCUCUCCCCCUUUCCUGGUGGUAGAUGUACAGUACUACUGUAGACAGCAGAAACUG